AAGGUUAGUGAAGUUAGGAGAAACAAUUUUUUAGUUAAUGGCUUCCUCCGUGAUCUCCUCGGCCACCGUGGCCGCCGUGAGCCGGGCCGUCCCAGCUCAAGCCAGCAUGGUUGCACCCUUCACCGGCCUCAAGUCUACCGCAGCUUUUCCGGUCACCAGAAAGGUCAACGACAUUACCUCUCUUCCUAGCAAUGGUGGAAGAGUGCAAUGCAUGAAGGUGUGUGUAUAUAUAUAUAUACAAGACUUGGUUUAAAUUAAUAGAAUUGCUCUAAAUAAAAUUAUUGGAUUCAAUAAUUAAUCAAGUAAGUAUAUACGUGCGGUUAUAUAUGUAGGUGUGGCCACCACUUGGUUUGAAGAAGUUCGAGACUCUGUCUUACCUCCCACAACUCACACAAGAACAAUUGUCAAAGGAAGUCGAUUAUCUCCUCCGUAGUGGAUGGGUUCCUUGCUUGGAAUUCGAGUUGGAGGUCAUUUUUAAAUAUUUAAAAUUAAAUUAAAUUCCUAUAUAUAUAUAUAUAUAUAUAUAUUGUAAUUAAGUUUUUAAAGUACGUAAUGUUUGAAUAUUAUUCCAUGUAGCACGGAUUCGUGUACCGUGAGCACCACCACUCACCGGGGUACUAUGACGGACGUUACUGGACAAUGUGGAAGCUGCCCAUGUUUGGAUGCACUGAUUCAUCUCAGGUGUUGAAAGAAGUAGAGGAGUGCAAGAAGGAGUACCCAAAUGCAUACAUCCGAAUUAUUGGAUUCGACAACGUCCGUCAAGUGCAGUGCAUCAGUUUCAUUGCCUUCAAGCCACCUUCUGCCUCUACCUAAUUAAUUAAUUAAGCAAGCUACAUUUAUUUAUUUCUGUAUCUUAAUUAAUUUCUCCUCCAUUUUUCCCAUCCAAUUGCAAAUUUACUGUUUUGAAUUCCUUUUCCUUUCCUGUCUGCUUCGAUUUCUGUUUGCGGAUUUCGAAUGACAAUCAUGUAUGAUGAGGAGAUUAUCAAGUAAUAAAAAUUUCUACGUCCAGAUAUAUAGAGGAAUCUCAACCAUGCAUACAUCUAAAUCUAAGUACUUGAGAUUUCCAUGCCAAUGAAUAUUUAUAUUUAGAGAGA
rnacentral:lncRNA from 1 species